AGGUCGGUCAGCCGCUGCCAUCAUGUACCACAGCAGCACGCAGAAGCGGCACUGGACUUUCAGCAGCGAGGAGGACCUGGCCCGCUGCCGGGCCGAGGCUAACCGCAAGUUCCGCUUCAAAGCGGUGUCCAGCGGGAAGGUCCAGCAGAACGACCCUAUCCUUCUGGAGCCCCACGAGGAGCUAGCGAUAUGCAAGUACUACGAAAAGCGGUUGGUGGACUUCUGCGCUGUCUUCAAGCCUGCCAUGCCGAGAUCCGUGGUGGGAACAGCUUGCGUGUAUUUCAAACGUUUUUACCUCAAUAACUCAGUGAUGGAGUAUCAUCCUCGGAUAAUAAUGCUCACAUGUGCAUUUUUGGCUUGUAAAGUAGAUGAAUUUAAUGUGUCCAGUGCACAGUUUGUUGGUAACCUUCGAGAAAGCCCUCUUGGACAGGAGAAGGCUCUUGAACAAAUACUGGAAUAUGAACUACUGCUUAUUCAGCAACUGAACUUCCACCUUAUUGUCCACAAUCCAUACAGGCCAUUUGAGGGAUUUCUAAUUGAUUUGAAGACUCGUUAUCCAGUGCUGGACAACCCUGAAGUUUUAAGGAAAACAGCUGAUGACUUCCUCAAUCGAGUGGCUCUGACAGAUGCGUAUCUGCUCUUUUCUCCCUCACAGAUAGCUCUCACUGCUAUAUUAUCUAGUGGUUCAAGAGCAGGAAUUAAUAUGGAAAGUUAUUUAUCAGAAAGUCUUAUGCUGAAAGAAGACAGAAUAUCCUUAGCAAAGCUACUAGAUGGCAUGAAAUGCAUGAAAAAUCUCAUAAAGAAAUACGAACUGCCGAGGCCUGAAGAGGUUGCUGCACUAAAACAGAAAUUAGAGAAGUGUCACGGCUCGGAACUUUCGCUUAAUGUGAACCCGAAGAAGAGGAAAGGCUAUGAAGAUGAUGAAUAUGUUGCAAAGAAGUCUAAAAUGGAUGAGGAAGAGUGGACGGAUGAUGAUCUUACGGAUUUGGUGUAACUUUGAAGGAAGAUGGAAUCCUACCCCUACGGAAACUGCUGUUCGAUGUCAAGUGUGAACCUGUCUGCAGCAGGUUCCUUGCUCUGUAUCAUGAGCUUGACGCCCUCAAUUUCGCUUACCACUCCAGCUGUGAACUCACCUAAUUUAGCUCAUUUAUUCAGAAGUAUCCAAGCACCUUUAAUGUUAUCUACAGAACAGUUCUGCAUCAUGAAAAACAUCCUAUUUUAUUCAUUUCUCCACUGUCUGUUGUAACAACUGCAUUCAAUAUUCCUAACAUUCAAAACUAUCAGGGAUUCUUGAAGUAUUUCCCUGUUAUUCUCCAAAGACUUGCAGCCGUUCAUGACUAACUGUCCUCUACUUCCGAGGAUAUUCUGUCAAACACAGCGCUUUCAAGAGGCCAAGAGAAUUAAGCCACAAGCAUGGUUCUGCAUGUAUUUGUUGCUGAAAAUAAGUAACAUUAGUUAAACAAGUAUUUUGUUUACACGCCACCGAAGUCUGUCAAAUUUUUAAAGUUUCCCAAAUGUGGUAAAUUUUAAAAGUUAGGACAAUACAGACGUUGACCUCUUUACACUUUUACUCAAAUGUGGUCAGAAAUCAAUACCUAGCAAAGAACGUGCAGACUACCUAAAGCCAUUCUGUGUUUUACGUAUACGGAUAUAACAACACAGUUCUGGUUGGUUUCAUAAGGAUACUGCAUAGCUUCGAAAAGGAAAGCAAGUACAUGCAGGAUUUACUACUGUUGAAAGUAAAAUUCCGAGAUAUAUCAGUAUUGUUUUGCAAUGAGGAGACAAAACAUCCUCCACAUGCACCGCCAACCCCGCAAUAUCAGCUUCACCUGACGCAGACGUUUAUUAGAUGUUCCUGGACUGGUUUUUCUUAAACUGCAAAACAUCUGCAGAGCUUUCAUCCAGUCCUAAGAGAGAA